rnacentral:rRNA from 1 species
UACGUAGGGUGCAAGCGUUGUCCGGAAUUAUUGGGCGUAAAGAGCUUGUAGGCGGUCUGUCGCGUCUGCUGUGAAAAUCCGGGGCUCAACCCUGGACUUGCAGUGGGUACGGGCAGACUAGAGUGUGGUAGGGGAGACUGGAAUUCCUGGUGUAGCGGUGAAAUGCGCAGAUAUCAGGAGGAACACCGGUGGCGAAGGCGGGUCUCUGGGCCGAUACUGACGCUGAGGAGCGAAAGCGUGGGGAGCGAACAGG